rnacentral:rRNA from 1 species
AUUGAACGCUGGCGGCAGGCCUAACACAUGCAAGUCGAGCGGGGUUUUCGGACCUAGCGGCGGACGGGUGAGUAAUGCGUAGGAAGCUACCCGAUAGAGGGGGAUACCAGUUGGAAACGACUGUUAAUACCGCAUAAUGUCUACGGACCAAAGUGUGGGACCUUCGGGCCACAUGCUAUCGGAUGCGCCUACGUGGGAUUAGCUAGUUGGUGAGGUAAUGGCUCACCAAGGCGACGUUCCCUAGCUGGUUUGAGAGGAUGAUCAGCCACACUGGAAAUGCGACACGGUCCAGACUCCUACGGGAGGCAGCAGUGGGGAAUAUUGGACAAUGGGCGCAAGCCUGAUCCAGCCAUGCCGCGUGUGUGAAGAAGGCCUUCGGGUUGUAAAGCACUUUCAGUAGGGAGGAAGCGUUGUGUGUUAAUAGUACACAGCGUUGACGUUACCUACAGAAGAAGCACCGGCUAACUCUGUGCCAGCCGCCGCGGUAAAAC